AAUAAAAAGAGUUUGAUGUUGGCUCAGUGCAAUUGCUAUUCAGAUGCAUAAUACAUGCGAAUUAAACGAUAAAUUAUAUAAUAAAAUAUAUAAAAUAUUAAUGUAGUGAACUCGUGAGUAAAUAAUGGUAAUAUGAACUAUAAUUAAGGUUAAAUACCUAACUCGAAAGAAGAUAAAAAAAAUCGAUUAUAGUCAAGCUAUUAAAAAUAUUAGGUAGUAGGUAAAUUAAUAGAUAAACCUAGCCAAAGAUAUUAAGUUGGUUAUUAGUGUAAGCCCAAUCACGUUGACAAUGAAAGAGCAGUCAAUAUCUUAAUUAAGAUACAGCAGUAAGGAAUAUUCGUCAAUGAGCGAAAGCUUGAACGAGCAAUCUGAAAAAGUGAAAAAAUAUAAUAACAUUAUUAAUAAUGUAUCUAAAAAAUGAAUUAAUAAUUAAUAAAUUAUAUUAAAUGAUUUAAUAUAAAACUUUAACAUAAUAUAAAAUAAUGAUAUGAUAUUAUGAAAUAGUUCUUACUAAAUGAUGUGCCAGCAGUAGCGGUUAUACAUCGAGAACAAGUAAUGCACAUCAUAGGCUUAAAGGGUUUGUAGAAUGGCAAUAAUUAAAUAAAUUAUUAAUAAUAAUUUAAAGCUAGAGUAAUAUAAAGUGAUAUAUGAAUUAUAAGAGUAAUGGUUAAAUAUAUUAAUACUUAUAAGACAACUAAUAAAUGAAAAUAUAUAUCAUAAUAUUACUGACAUUGAGGAACGAAAACUAAAGUAGCGAAACGGAUUAGUUACCCGUAUAGUUUUAGUUGUAAACGAUGAAUGUUAAAAAUAUAUAAAAUAUUUUAAGUGAAAACGUAAACAUUCCGCCUGGGGAGUAUAAACUAGAAACUCAAAACAAUAGACGGUAUAAGUUAUACACAGUGGAUCAUGUAGUUUAAUUCGAUAAUCCGCGAGAACCUUACCAUUUUUUGUAUUUAAUUAUUAUUAUAAUUAUAACAAGUGUUACAUAGCUGUCUUUAGUUCAUGCCGUAAGGUAUUAGGUUAAGUCCAUUAAUGAACAAAAUCCUUAUUAAUUAAUUUUUUAAUAAUUAAUAUAUAAUAUAGAUAUUAUAUUAUUAAUAGGUUUAAGACAAGUCAUCAUGACCUUAAUAAAAUGGGCUAUAUACGUGAUACAAAUAUACAUACAAAAUCAAGUAAUAUAGUAAUAUAUAACAAUUGAUAUAAAAUGUAUAAUAUAUUUAUAUAUUUAUAUAUAAUAUAUUAAUAUGAAUCAUAUACUGUAAUUCGUAUAUGUGAAAAAGGAAUUGUGAGUAAUACGUAAUAAAGCACAUUACGGUGAAAUAUUCUCUUAUGCGUACUAAUCACUCAUCAUUCGCUUGAAUAAUUUACAUAUUAAAGUUUAUAAUCUAAUAUAAUUUAUAUUUUUUCUACCUUAUACGUAGAGGCUUAUAUUUUUUUAUUUUUUAUAUUAUUAAUUAAUAUAUUAUAUACUAAAUUUGACAAGUGAGAAGUUGAAAUAUAGUUGUGGUAGAGGAAUCUGCUGCGGGCUUUUAAUUUAU
rnacentral:rRNA from 1 species